CACACAUCUAGUGACAAAAAACCGCGGAUACUUUUUAGAUGACCCAAUAUAAUUUAUUUCUAAACAGGUUAGAAAACAUUGAAGAAAUUUCUAACAGAAUGGAAAACAUUGAAGGAUCCAAAGUUAAUCCAGAUCGAAAUUCAAUUUAUGAAAAGAGGAUGCACUAAAUAACAGAAAAAGAACAGAAAAUUGGAUUCUUAGGCUUCAUAAUUUGCUUGAAAAAAAAGUGUUAUCGGUAUUUGUUACCAAUAUAUACAAUCAUCUGAAAAUAAAUGGGAUUAUUUAUUAACAUAUAAAAUGUCGCAAGACCACACACAUCUUGAACUGUCUUUUGUCUGCGAUUUCUCUACGAUUCAGCAAGAUUUGGCCACAAUCCAUGAUAAUAAUAAUCCGAUAUGCCGAUAAUUUCAAAUUGCUUUUAAAUAAUUACUUGUAUAUUGUAAAAUAGGUGACAGAAUAUGCCAAUAGUGUACUUCAAGACACUACUUCAUUUUUACAUGUAUUGUAUUAUCAAUGACUGCGUUCAGCCGAACGUUUAUUUUGCAACUGUUGCAAAAUAAAGUUAAGCGUAAAGAAAAAAAGUUUUCUUCAUGCUGAUUGGGUUAUGCUUUUAGAUCAAAAGAAAUGGUCCUAUCUCAGCAGAGAAUCAUAAAAUGGUUGCAAAACUAUUGUAUUCUGCUGAACGCAGCCAAUAGUAAAAAAAAGAUGAAUCAAUCGACGAAUUAAUAAAUUCCAUCUACAAACGAUCAUGAAUAUGCUAAUGUUUUUUCGGAACACAGUUAUGCUAACUCUGAGACUAGGCCCAGUUGCACCAACGUUACUUUAAUUUUAAA